rnacentral:rRNA from 1 species
AUUGAACGCUAGCGGCAUGCCUUACACAUGCAAGUCGAACGGCAGCACGGGGCAACCUGGUGGCGAGUGGCGAACGGGUGAGUAAUGUAUCGGAACGUGCCCAGUAGCGGGGGAUAACUACGCGCAAGCGUAGCUAAUACCUCAUACGCCCUACGGGGGAAAGGGGGGGAUCUCAAGACCUCUCACUAUUGGAGCGGCCGAUAUCGGAUUAGCUAGUUGGUGAGGUAAAGGCUCACCAAGGCUUCGCUCCGUAGCUGGUUUGAGAGGACGACCAGCCACACUGGGACUGAGACACGGCCCAGACUCCUACGGGAGGCAGCAGUGGGGAAUUUUGGACAAUGGGGGCAACCCUGAUCCAGCAAUGCCGCGUGUGCGAAGAAGGCCUUCGGGUUGUAAAGCACUUUUGGCGGGAACGAAACGGUGCCGGAUAAUACCUGGCGCCACUGACGGUACCCGCAGAAUAAGCACCGGCUAACUACGUG